CCUACGGGAGGCAGCAGUGAGGAAUAUUGGUCAAUGGGCGCGAGCCUGAACCAGCCAAGUAGCGUGAAGGAUGACGGCCCUACGGGUUGUAAACUUCUUUUAUAAAGGAAUAAAGUGAGGCACGUGUGCCUUUCUGUAUGUACUUUAUGAAUAAGCAUCGGCUAACUCCGUGCCAGCAGCCGCGGUAAUACGGAGGAUCCGAGCGUUAGCCGGAUUUAUUGGGUUUAAAGGGGGCGUAGAUGGGUUGUUAAGUCAGUUGUGAAAGUUUGCGGCUCAACCGUAAAAUAGCAAUUGAUACUGGCAGUCUUGAGUACAGGUGAGGUAGGCGGAAUUCGUGGUGUAGCGGUGAAAUGCUUAGAUAUCACGAAGAACUCCGAUUGCGAAGGCAGCUUACUAAACUUCCACUGACAUUGAUGCUCGAAAGUGUGGGUAUCAAACAGGAUUAGAUACCCUGGUAGUC
rnacentral:rRNA from 1 species